rnacentral:tRNA from 1 species
AGUAAGGUGCCUGAUAAAAGGGUUAUUUUGAUGGAAUAAAUUAUAGUACGUCGUAUUUCUUACUG